ensembl:rRNA 5S_rRNA 5S ribosomal RNA
GUCUAUGGCCAUUCUACCCUGAACAAGCCUGAUCCCGUCCGAUCUCGGAAGCUAAGCAGAGUUGAGCCUGGUUAGUACUUGGAUGGGAGACCACCUAUGAAGACCCAGGUGCUGUAUGUA